rnacentral:rRNA from 1 species
AAUGGGGGCAACCCUGAUCUAGCCAUGCCGCGUGAGUGAUGAAGGCCUUAGGGUCGUAAAACUCUUUCGCCUGUGAUGAUAAUGACAGUAGCAGGUAAAGAAACCCCGGCUAACUCCGUGCCAGCAGCCGCGGUAAUACGGAGGGGGUUAGCGUUGUUCGGAAUUACUGGGCGUAAAGCGCGCGUAGGCGGAUUAGAAAGUUGGGGGUGAAAUCCCGGGGCUCAACCCCGGAACUGCCUCCAAAACUGCUAGUCUAGAGUUCGAGAGAGGUGAGUGGAAUUCCGAGUGUAGAGGUGAAAUUCGUAGAUAUUCGGAGGAACACCAGUGGCGAAGGCGGCUCACUGGCUCGAUACUGACGCUGAGGUGCGAAAGUGUGGGGAGCAAACAGGAUU